rnacentral:rRNA from 1 species
AACCUGCCCUUAACUCUGGGAUAAGCCUGGGAAACUGGGCCUAAUACCGGAUAUGAUCUUCCAUCUGAUGGUGGGUGCGGGAAAGGUUUUUGCGGUUUUUCCUGGACUCACGGCCUAUCCCUUUGCCUUGGAGGUGAUGGUUUACCAAGGGGCCGACGGGUAUCCGGCCUGAGAGGGUGACCGGCCACACUGGGACUGAGACACGGCCCAGACUCCUACGGGAGGCAGCAGGGGGGAAUAUUGCACAAUGGGCGCAAGCCUGAUGCAGCGACGCCGCGUGAGGGAUGACGGCCUUCGGGUUGUAAACCUCUUUCAGUAGGGAAGAAGCGAAAGUGACGGUACCUGCAGAAGAAGCGCCGGCUAACUACGUGCCAGCAGCCGCGGUAAUACGUAGGGCGCAAGCGUUAUCCGGAAUUAUUGGGCGUAAAGAGCUCGUAGGCGGUUUGUCGCGUCUGCCGUGAAAGUCCGGGGCUCAACUCCGGAUCUGCGGUGGGUACGGGCAGACUAGAGUGAUGUAGGGGAGACUGGAAUUCCUGGUGUAGCGGUGAAAUGCGCAGAUAUCAGGAGGAACACCGAUGGCGAAGGCAGGUCUCUGGGCAUUAACUGACGCUGAGGAGCGAAAGCAUGGGGAGCGAACAGGAUUAGAUACCCUGGUAGUCCAUGCCGUAAACGUUGGGCACUAGGUGUGGGGGACAUUCCACGUUUUCCGCGCCGUAGCUAUCGCAUUAAGUGCCCCGCCUGGGGAGUACGGCCGCAAGGCUAAAACUCACAGGAAUUGACGGGGGCCCGCACAAGCGGCGGAGCAUGCGGAUUAAUUCGAUGCAACGCGAAGAACCUUACCAAGGCUUGACAUGAACCGGUAACGCCUGGAGACAGGUGUCCCGCUUGCGGACGGGUUACAGGUGGUGCAUGGUUGUCGUCGCUCGUGUCGUGAGAUGUUGCGUUAGUCCCGAACGAGCGCAACCCUCGUUCUAUGUGACAGCACGUCAUGUGGGACUCAUAGGAGACUGCGGGUCAACUCGAGGCAGGGGGGACGACGUCAAGUCAUCAUGACGUUAUGUUUGGGCUCCUCUGCUACAAUGGACGGUACAAAGGGUUGGCAAACUGAAAG